GGGAGUCGGAGGAGCCGCCGGCCGCUGGGACCUGGGCGCCCAAGCACUAGGCUGGCGGGAGCGCGGGUCGGAGCCUCUGAGGGGAGAAGAUUUAAAAGGGGUUAGGGAGGAGAAAACAGAAACAGAAGAGGAAGAGAUCAGGAGCAAGGCUGGAGGACAAACUUUAGGAAACUGGUGAAGAAGACAGGUGGGAAAGAGAAAAGGAAGAAAUAAAAACAAGAACAGAACAACAACAAAAAUCUAGAAACCGUGUUCAAAUAAUCAAGAAAAAACAAAACAAUAACCACAAAGGAGGGGGAAAAAGAAAGAAAAAAACCCAGCCAAUUCAAGCAAUUCACAGUGCUUGGCUGCUUUUUCGGAAACUCCCCUGGAGGGGGCGCUCCCUCUACUAGCCCUGGCUCCCUAUAAAGGGCCAGGCCACUUGGCAGAAGAUGCCCACUGAGGAUCCCGAGAUAGCAUCUGUGUCUGCCACAGCUCUGCCUGCAAGUACCAUGAAGGUCUCUGCAGCUGCCCUCUCUUGUUGUCCUAACUGCUGCCACCCUCUGCGCUACUGCAUCUGCCUCCCCACAUGCCUCAGACACCACUCCUUGGUGCUUUGCCUAUAUCCCCCGGCCAUUGCCCCGCAACCACAUCACGGAAUAUUUCUACACCGUGGCAAGUGCUCCAACUCAGCAGUCGUAUUUGUUACCCGAAAGAACUGCCAGGUGUGUGCCAAC
rnacentral:lncRNA from 1 species